AUCUUAACAAUAUAUCUUAUCAGUUAUUUUUUAUCAAUAAAUAAAAUUAUUUAUUAGGUAUAUAAUAUAAUUGUAUGGAAAAUUAGGAUUAUUUUAUAUUAUAACGAAGUAAAACUUAUGUAAAGUGAACACAACCUAAGUACGAAAAAUAAACACUGAAACCUCACAUUGUUCUUAUAUUCUUCUAGAAAAUCAUUUUCAAUAUGAACAGUCUCUAUUGUCCGGUGAGUUUAUUCUAUAAAUCUAUUGAUAUAUUUUAGUAAUUAUAAUUGGAAUAUUUACAUUUAGGUAUACAAGUAGUAACAAUAAUACUGAAAAUAAUACAGUCAAUGAACUAGAAUAUAAUAUUGAAAUUAAUGAACUUUGUGAUUUAUCCUACUAAGAAAUAAUUAUCAAUAUGAAAAAAACUAUAUUAACCAGUAAAAUUAUCAUGUAAAUUAUAUUAAUACACUUUGUUAAUUAAAAUUCCAAUAUUUUCAUUUAGGUACCACAAAGUGUUAUAAUAAUACUGAAAAUCUUGCAGUCAAUGAACUAGAUAGCGACAACUUGGACAAUAUUGAGGCCCUGUACAGUCAUUUUUGCAAGACCUUGAUAAGCUUUAUUUUUGUUUUUUUAUUUUCCAUUACCUAGCAUAGGUAGACCUUUAAAUACAAUUUUUCAUUGUUUAUUAAUAUUAAUUUGUAUUUUUUUAAAUAAUCAUGUGAAAUUACUAUCUAGCUAUGACAAUGACUAAACAUGGUACUUCUAAAAGCGUGGGGUUUUGUGUCACAGCUUGUAAAAAAACUUCCUUCAAGUAGGCCCUGAAAUUAGAACUUCAUAUUGAAUGUAAUUAACUUUGUGUUUCUGUACAUCAAGAAAAUGAUGAUCAAUGUAAACAAUCUUUAAAAACCAGUAAGAUGAUAUUAUACAUUUUAUUAAAUUGAUACAUUUUGGUAUAAUUAAAAUAAAUUGGAAUAUUUACAUAUAGGUACUAGAAGUUUUAACAAUAAUUCAGAAAAUUAUACAGUAUUUAAAUUUGAACAAAAUAUUGAGCGUAAUUAACUCUAUGAUUCUGUCUUUUGAGAAAAUAAUGAUCAAUAUGAACUGUCUUUAUCAGCCGGUA
rnacentral:lncRNA from 1 species